UCGGAAGUAAAAGUCGUAACAAGGUUUCCGUAGGUGAACCUGCGGAAGGAUCAUUACCUAGAGUUGUAGGCUUUGCCUGCUAUCUCUUACCCAUGUCUUUUGAGUACCUUCGUUUCCUCGGCGGGUUCGCCCGCCGAUUGGACAAUUUAAACCAUUUGCAGUUGCAAUCAGCGUCUGAAAAAACUUAAUAGUUACAACUUUCAACAACGGAUCUCUUGGUUCUGGCAUCGAUGAAGAACGCAGCGAAAUGCGAUAAGUAGUGUGAAUUGCAGAAUUCAGUGAAUCAUCGAAUCUUUGAACGCACAUUGCGCCCCUUGGUAUUCCAUGGGGCAUGCCUGUUCGAGCGUCAUUUGUACCUUCAAGCUCUGCUUGGUGUUGGGUGUUUGUCUCGCCUCUGCGCGUAGACUCGCCUCAAAACAAUUGGCAGCCGGCGUAUUGAUUUCGGAGCGCAGUACAUCUCGCGCUUUGCACUCAUAACGACGACGUCCAAAAGUACAUUUUUACACUCUUGACCUCGGAUCAGGUAGGGAUACCCGCUGAACUUAAGCAUAUCAAUAA
rnacentral:misc_RNA from 1 species